GGACACUGGGAGACAUGGGGACACUGUGUCCCCAUGUGUCUGUGUCAUAAUGUCCCCCAAUGUCCCUUAGUGUCUCAGUGUCCCCAUGUCUCCUAGCAGCCUAUCCCCCCAUCCCUUACUUCCCUGAGCUGUAGGCUGUCUCUGCAGGUUGGGAGUUGCUGUCUGGACUCUCUGUAGCUGCACCCCUGCAGAUCAGUGAGUAUAGAUAGGCAGGGAAGGAUAUGCUGGAACUUCCUAUCCCUAACUGUCUCCACACACAGUGACCCCUACUGGCCAGUGCUGGUAUUGCAUAGUAAUCUCUUGUUUAUACUGGGAAAAAUACCAGCAUUUGUAUUGCCAGUAUCACUGUAAUAUUGGCACCAGCCAGGCAGCCUCAAAUACUGGUUGUGCCAAUGAAAUAAAAGCCAGGUGGAAUCCCU